rnacentral:rRNA from 1 species
CCUACGGGAGGCUGCAGUGAGGAAUAUUGGUCAAUGGACGAGAGUCUGAACCAGCCAAGUAGCGUGAAGGAUGACUGCCCUAUGGGUUGUAAACUUCUUUUAUAUGGGAAUAAAACGUUCCACGUGUGGGAUUUUGUAUGUACCAUAUGAAUAAGGAUCGGCUAACUCCGUGCCAGCAGCCGCGGUAAUACGGAGGAUCCGAGCGUUAUCCGGAUUUAUUGGGUUUAAAGGGAGCGUAGGUGGAUUGUUAAGUCAGUUGUGAAAGUUUGCGGCUCAACCGUAAAAGUGCAGUUGAAACUGGCAGUCUUGAGUACAGUAGAGGUGGGCGGAAUUCGUGGUGUAGCGGUGAAAUGCUUAGAUAUCACGAAGAACCCCGAUUGCGAAGGCAGUUCACUGGACUGCAACUGACACUGAGGCUCGAAAGUGUGGGUAUCAAACAGGAUUAGAUACCCGAGUAGUC